rnacentral:rRNA from 1 species
AUUGAACGCUGGCGGCAUGCCUAACACAUGCAAGUCGAACGGCAGCAUGGUCUAGCUUGCUAGACUGAUGGCGAGUGGCGCACGGGUGAGUAAUGCGUAGGAAUAUGCCUUGAAGUGGGGGAUAACUUGGGGAAACUCAAGCUAAUACCGCAUAAGCUCUAAGGAGGAAAGCUGGGGACCUUCGGGCCUGGCGCUUUAAGAUUAGCCUACGUCCGAUUAGCUAGUUGGUAGGGUAAAGGCCUACCAAGGCGACGAUCAGUAACUGGUCUGAGAGGAUGAUCGGUCACACCGGAACUGAGACACGGUCCGGACUCCUACGGGAGGCAGCAGUGGGGAAUAUUGGACAAUGGGCGCAAGCCUGAUCCAGCAAUGCCGCGUGUGUGAAGAAGGCCUUCGGGUUGUAAAGCACUUUAGCCUGGAAAGAAAAAACUUUGGUUAACACCCAAAGUCUUGACGGUACCUGGAGAAAAAGCCCCGGCUAACUUCGUGCCAGCCGCCGCCGUAAGAC